rnacentral:lncRNA from 1 species
CUGACACAUGCACACCUAUCGAAAAAUACUUGUAUUAAAACAAAAAAUAGUGACAAUAUAUGCUUUCCUCACGUAAUUUAUACAUUAUCACUAUUCCUCAAUUUCUAUUCGUGAUAAAAUCAUACACAUAGCAUUAUCGAAAAUUGUGAGGAAAUUUGGCUAAAAAAAAAAAAUAUUUUUUUUUAGUGAACUUUCGCCGGAAUUGGCUUCCGUUAGCCAACGGUGCUUCUCCCCCUCCCCAAAGCCAUUAACGCUGGCAAAGCAUAGCGCCGCCAUCGUCAUUUCCACCCUUUUUUUCCACGCCGGCGAAACAGCAGCAUCACCGCUAACCCCUAAAAUAUGGUGCCGCCCCUUGGGCUACUAAACACUAGAUCCGGUGCCACCCACGCUCCUCUCCCCAGAUCCCUUCCCUUUCGUCGGAGUCAAAUCUGGUCGGAACCACCACAGCAGCGACCAACCACCCCGCGCCGAUGACCCUUCUCUUCCCUAUCUCAGCCAGAAACACCCAUGCCAAAACCACCCCUUCUUCGUCCCUCUUUCCUUUCUGCCGCCACUGGAUCUAACUCCCGGAUGGCUGACAACCCACUGCGGUGAAUGGUAACAAAUUGCUGCAGAUAAACAACAAUGUUGUUUUUGUCCUUUUAUUAAUAUAUAUUUUUUUUGUUUAUCAAUUAAGUUGAUUAGUUAAUUGUUUUAGGAGGUACUAUUUAAUUAAUUUUUUGUAAAAUAUAGCAAUGGUGUCGUGAUGUUAAAAAAAAUAAAUAAUGAAAUUAGGUUGCUGAUCUGUUAAGAAUUUCAAGUCAGCUCAUUAGUCAAAGUUUUUUUUUUUUUUUCGAAAUUAAAUUCAAAAAUGUUUAUUAUUUAAACUUUAUCUAGAUUGGUAUAUCAUUGAUUCAAGUGGCU